rnacentral:lncRNA from 1 species
AUACGACCGCAGAUGUAGAACCCUGAACAGAUGGGACAAAUAUGGACACAACUUUUAAGUUUGAUACAGCUUUAAAUGUGGAUUGUGAUUAAAUAGUUGACACAACAUAGGUUUAUGUCACAUUAUGAUUUGGACCCUUUGGACCUUAAUGUAGACCAAUUUGAAAACUGGACCUAAAAUUAAGAAUCUACAUACACAGUUAGAUUUGGAAUAUCAAAGAACCCCAUUUAUUCAAUUUU